rnacentral:piRNA from 1 species
UCCUGGUGCGGGCAUAAAUUUUGUUUGCAGG